GCUGGGUAAAAUUGUAGACUCUUCCAGUUUUGCCAUGAUGGAAAAUAUGAGGUGCAGAGAAGUGAUGGAAAAAAGAGAAGAUCAGGAUUUCAGUUUUUUUCUGCAUUUCUCAUCAUCCCAUGAAGUCUCUUGAUAACAUAAGCCAAGUUUUCAUAUACCUUGACGUGUGUGAUACUUACGUGGUGCCAAGAACAAGAUGCAUACUCAAUAAAUAUUCAUCACUAUAGGCAAAAGCGGGCACAGAUGGAAAAUAAAAUUAUUUGAAGAGUCUUGCUCUGUCACACAGGCUGGAGCGUAGUGGCAUGAUCUCAGCUCAUUGCAACCUCUGCCUCCUGGGUUCAAGCAAUCCUCCUACCUCAGCCUCCUGAGUAGCUUGGACCACAGGAGACAGAGCUGCGGGGCAGGGGCUAGAAGCAGCAGCCUGGACGUGCACCAAUGAUUACGCACGGGCUGCGUAUAAAAAGUCCCCGAGGGAAGGAAAGCCGAAACUCCAUCCUGAGGGAUGCUGCGGCGAGAGAAUCUCCAACUCAUGGAGGCUGAGCUUCUGCGGGAGAGGCCACAGCCUGAAGAAGAGGUGGGAUCGGAAAUAAACCCGCCUGGGAGACCUGCAGGCACCAGCAGUAUUCAGAGACUCAAAUCUGGGACCCCGUUCUGAGUGACAGCAAGUGCGUGGACACACACAUUCUUGAAGAUACUGCUUUUCACUUCACAUUGUUCUACUCAGCGUCUCCACUGCUCCCAGCGUCUCUGCUGUGCCUCUUCUGGACAUAUAGAAGUGAUGUAUUCUUCAUAGUCUAAGAGCCCCAGCAAUAUUUAUAGCAAUCUUUAAUUUCCACUUAGUAAGUAUUUUGAACUUAUGAAAUUCCUGUAAGUGAAUUUUAGGUCAUGCCACGUGUACUCCACCUUCUGAAGUCUGCCCGUGAUGACCUUCUUUCAGGUACAAUAGGUACAAUUUGUCUAGUGUAGAUUGUCUAAUCUUGAUUAAUAUAGAUUUUCUUCAGUUCAGAAAUACAAUUUAAAUGCCAUUAAAAACUUAAUUUUUGACUGAC
ensembl:lncRNA novel transcript